rnacentral:misc_RNA from 1 species
UUUAUUCUUUAGGAAGUUUUAGCUGAUAUGUGGAAGAAAUGGUUCCUAAACUAGUCUGUUUGGAACGAGUUACAAUCAGUUAAGAGUUGGUUCUUGAGCUGCUUCGAAUAGUUACAGAUAAAUGUUUUCUAACAAAACAUUUUAUUUACGGAAGAAUGAAAAAUUGAGGUGCCAUUUGUUAUUCCAAUUAUACAUUGCACAACAUUCCACAUAUAAUCAGAAAAACUGUGGCAACAACUGGACACUCUACAGAUAUGACCCUGCGGAGCUUCCUCAACAUCCAUACUGACGUAAGCUCCCCUCCAUCUUCAUCACAAAAUCUAAUCAAUUUCAAUUAUUUUCUUUUUUGUUUUUUUCCCCCACCUCUUUACAGUAUCGAGUAUGCUCUGAUCACUUCAACAAUCGGUGCUCGACACAACGGGCACUUUCCUCCCCCACGAACUAAUUCAUUUGCACAUUUUGAACAAGUGCACAUGUGCCCACAUCUGUACAGCAAAGAAUCUAUAUUGCUAUCACAACAUAUACAACAAAUUCCUUUUCUCACAUGAUCCCAUUUAGAUCUAUCCUCUGGCAAAACUUUCUCACACAACCCUGUUAAACCAGCUGAGCGAUUGAGAGCAGCAGAAACUUCUUGUGUAAUCGACCUCUGCAACUCAAGUUGCAUGUCCAUGCAGGCUUCCAGCACCCUCUGCAUGUUAUUCAUCCUUUGUUGUAGCCUAGCCAUGUCAAUCCUCAAAUCAUUAAUGAUGUCCCACUCCUGCACCAAAUCAAAAACCUGUUUCAAUGAAAGCUAGAACUCUCAAACAAAUUACUUGGGGAGAAAAGAAGAAAAACAAGAAUCAAUGCGGUUGAGAAAGAAAAUCCCAGCCAUCUAAUUAAGAAGAGACAAACAAUCACCCAAUGAAUUUCUAAAAUGAGUUCCUUCCCAAAUGCAUUGACUUCAAUAACAUAUGUAUAAAAACAAGAAAAUUUCAAGAGAACUUGUCAAGUUUUUUCAUAAUUUACUAGUGUCUAAUAAACUAAAUGUAAAUUGUCAGAAAUAUAAGCACAUGUUCAACUCUAUCAUACGUGUUGUCAAAAACAAUCUAGCUUCAAAGAAUCAUUGACAAAAAAUGAACGCACAAUUCCAAAGCAUUGAUGCAUGUCAUGCUGUGGCCAAGCAAAAUGCUGUGACUCCUGGUUCCAGAGCUGCUGAACAGGGGGAAUUGAUGGGGAAGGUAGAGCAACAGGACUGUGAACAGAAUCAGGCAGAGCAAGAGGACUGUGAACAGAAUCUCCCUGACCCUCAUUCUCAUCCCCACUAUGCUGCUCCAGUUCCUGUUCUGCUGAUGCUGGAGUGGGAGAUGUUCCUUGCAGUUCCCAAUCAAGGGGAGCAUGGCUUUGCCUUGCCACGUAUGAUUGUAUCAGUUGGUCAAGACUCUCACGGAAACCACUACGAAGAAGAGUAGAGACGCUUCUCCUACUUAGGAGUUCCCUAAGUUCCAUAUUGUACACAUUGUCAUCAUCAGGUAAAUAAAAAGGAUCCAUCCUUCCAACAGGAACAGCUUCCUGUUCAGAAGGUUCUUCUAACCAACUUUGAACAGCCUCUUGAAAACCACCAUCUUGGUGCCACGCCUCAGAGGCUUCUUCUCUAUCAUCAUUUACUACCCAUUCAUUGGAAAUGGUUUCUUGUUGACGUCCAUCUAUGGUAUCUCGAAUAUCAUCUCCCCACUCAUUAGAUCCAAAACCAUCUGCAAACGAGCCUCCGUCUUCACUUCCUAAAACUUGACUCUGCCACUGUUCUACUAGUGCAGCAGAUCCAUGCUGAUUUACAUCUUCAACUUCAUUGCCAUCCAAAUCAUCCACAUGAUUGGAUAAGAUGGGGGCAGAAUUUUCAUUCCCAUUUGGCUCUAAUUGUUGAGAAAAUACUUCACUGGUUGACUGCAGACGAAUUUGCUCUCCAGCUACAUUUUCAUUGGUACCUUCUCUCCAGUUUCCAUUCACCUCUUCUCCAGUACCAUCUCUGCUUCCAACAAAUUCAGUACUCAUGGUUUGUUGCCUGUCUCUUAUCUCAUUCUCUGGAACUUUUCCUGACUCCACUUCUGAAGCAGAAGUAGAUUCCUGAGAACUUCUAUCUUCAACAAUGUUACUUCCUAUAUCAGUUCUACCAUCUGAUAACCCGUGGUUGUCAGUUUCCUCAAUAUUUGACUCUGUUUGUUCAUGAAAUCCAUCUACAACCUGUUGUGAAUUAUUUACUUGGGUUUGUUCACUUCCAUUACCAUUGAUGUCAGUGUUAGAUGAAGUAUCAGAGGCGCUGCUGCUUACUUGACCAUAAAUAGAAUGGUCCAAUCUGGAGAAAAACCCUUCCCUCAAAUCGGAUACUGUAUGUCUUUGCCUCAGUAAGCCCAAUUCACUUGCAGCUGUGGAUGUUGGUCUCUCGUCUUCAAUUAUUCUGUCAUUUCGCAAGAACCUACCUCUAAGUAAUGCCUGAAUUCGGUUGCGAUGAGCAAAUUGUGAUACAGCCCGAUGCUCCAACAGAACUUGAAGCUCAUGAUGCCUUUCUCUCUCAGCCCUUUUAAGCAUAUCAAGCAAAGCCUGCCUGCCACAUAAUCGAUGAAUGCCUCUCCGUGUAUGCUCAGUUUGUCCUAUAUCGUGGUUAACAACUGAUCCAUCAAGAAUUUGUUCUAUUUGACCCACAAGUUCAGCACCGUGCUCUUCUCUAUGGUCAACACAAGUACCUCUCCGUCGACUGUUCAUUUGUACCCGCUCCCUUAUAAUUCUUACCCUCUCCUGUUCAGUUUCACCGAGCCAUUCUGAUCUAGAACUAUUGCCCCUCCGGGAAAUAUUAGAUGUGCGUUCCCUUGCAGCACAGUUCAUCCAUUCCUGGAAAAUCUGCCUUACCCUUUCCCUUUCAAUCUCACCCAGGUCAGAAGAAUCUUCUUGUUCAUUCUCUGAUUCAAUUAGACCUGGAGACCAUUGUCCAUAGUCAUUCUCACUCACACUCACAUCCUCUGAGGUGCCACUAUGCUCACUACCAUGGCUGUCAGACAUAUCCGUCCUUGAGAGGUCAGAACUCAAUCCAUCACUUCUAUUGUGAAGUACUCUCCCACCAAUCCUCUCUCGGGCAUGACUUACCACAUGCUCAUCCUCAAGCUCACGCCACAUUUGUAGGAUUGAUGAUGCCUGGUUGCUAGCUCUGCCAUCAUCAUCCCUUAUUGUCACAGCUUCUGAUUGUGGUUCUCUAAGGAAUGAAGAAUCAAGUACGGAAACAUUGUGCAGGCCAGCAAUAGCCAUUAGUCCAAAUUCCAAACAAACAAUCAAAAUCUAUCAACCAUCUGCCUCAAAUGGAUGAAAAAGCGUAUUUAUUUACAAUAAAUACAUGCAGGCAAUUGUUUACAAAUUAGAUGACUUCAUUAAUUAGUUUAUAUCAUGAGAUCAUAAACCAUCCAAAUCAUGAUUCAUGAUCACCAUCAUUAUUAAUCUUCAAUGUGAAGCUGAACAAAGGCAAUGGAAUGCAAACAUCGAAGGGAAUCUGCAUUAAAUUUCCCAUCCCUCACAAGAAAACCUCCUCAAAGAAGUGGCGUCCUCCAGUGAAGCUCUGCUCUUGAUUAUUUCAAAGUAAAGAAAACGAAACCGUAGCAAAGAAGAAAGAAGGAAAUAGAGAGAUGUGAAGAAAGAGAUAAAUGCAAGAGAAAGAGAGAAUCAGAGUAGGUUUUUUUUUUUUUUUUUUUUGGCUGCAAUAAAGCAUAGGGAAUACUGCAUACGAUAUAUGACCCUUCCCUUGCUCAUGUAAAUCAAGGAGCCUCAUACACAAUGGAUGCCCUUUUUUUUUUCCUUCUAAAAGUGCAUAUAUUCUAAUAUGCCAGUUCCAUUGGAUAUGUUAAUGUCAUACUCCUGCUGGCAUGUCCAUGUAUGAUAAAAAUAAAACAGGCCUAUGUAGUGUAUUUUUUGGAAGAAUGUUGGCUAAGAAUUUGUGCUUUGACAAAAUGGCAUGGGGCUUGACCUUCUACAUCUUACAGAAGGAUUGAUCAAUUGGUUCAAAAUCCUUCCGGCACUGUGCUAUGCCUCAAUUUGUAUCAUGAAUUUGUACCACUUGUAUGGCUUUGCGUCUACAGAGUCUUUAAUUUCCUCUGAGCAGUAAAAUCUUUUUAGCAUGCAUGCAGCUGCAUGGUGCUAGUCAACUGUUUGGAGUUCCUAGAGCUGGUCCAUUAGAAUGCAAUGAAGAUGCUCUACCAUUUAGAGAAAACACAAGAAGGCGGCAAUUACUGGGCAAUGUAGAUGAGAAAAAUUUUUUUAGCAUGUCCAGCUUAUCAAGUUUUCCAGAAUCAAGCAUUGGUGCAAAGCAUUUAAAAUUGAAAUGGAGGAAGUUUGAUCAAUUGGCAUCACAACUUGGUGGAGCAAGAAACAUAUUUUCUGAACUAUUUGGAGCUAAUAGAGCUGAAAACACCUUUUGGUUGGACAGUUCUUCAGUGGAGAAGAAAAGGGCACGCUUUUCUUUUAUGGGGGGUAAAGGUGGACAACUUUGGAAGCAAAUUACAUUUAGAUUGUCAGAUCAAAGGAACUCCUAUCAUUCCAUUAUGAUGAAAAAGAUUUUGAAGGACUGCCAUUUGACUUCUAUGGUGGAUAUAUUG